rnacentral:lncRNA from 1 species
CUUCUGUAGAUCAAGAAUUUGGUAACAAUACUAUUAAUAUUAUGAAGAAACAAAGAGAUCAUGAGUUGUCUUUAGACCUUAACAAUAUUCCAAUUCAAGAUGAUCAUCCUGUUGUAUCCUUAAAGCAACAAGAUCAAGAACAAACACAAAGGCAACUUGUUGAUUGUAAUUAUUGACAAUAAUGCAGGUACAUUUUUUUAAUUUUUUUUUUCUUACUUUUUAACCAUACAAUUAUAUGAGUAAAUAUUUUUCUCAUUGUUAUGAUAUACAAAUUCUUUAAUAUUAAUUCAGUGGAUAAUAUAGUAAAAACCACUUAGUAUUUGAUUCAUUUAAAUUCUCAUAGUACUUGAGUUUGCCACAUGAAUCAACAUUAAUAUAUAUGCCGAUGGUCUAUCAAAAUUAUUAUCUCUAUCCCAUAAAGAUAGAGAUAAAGUCUGCAUAUCUUGUUCUUUUCACACUUAUAAAAUUACACUGACUACAUUAUUAUUGUUAAUUAACAUGCAUACAUACCCUUUUGAGGAUUUACAGUCCACUUUAUGACUUAAUUUCUCUCUGUUUCCUUCACCAACGUGAAUAACGAUAAUAGCUUUAGAAUACUUAACUAGCAUGUUGGCCUUUUAAUCAUGUUAGGUCUUUUGGAUUGUACAUCACCUUUUUGUUACUCCCAUUGUUACAUUUUAUGUGAAAAUAUUUGAUUGAAUAUGAAUACGUGUGACAUGCAAGUCACAUACACACUAUAACGUACCAAUAUUCUUUUACAUAAAUAUAUAGAUUAGAAUUUCACGUGUCUUUUCAUUUUAGAAGAGUGGCGAUGAAGUUUUAACAAGUCAUGUUAGACCAGUCAACUUGUGCGUACCUUAAUUAUUCUACCAGAUACCAACAACUACCUCCCGCUAGCAGAAAUAUCAAGUAUUAAGCUUACCAUGUAUUUCUACAAGAAGUUGUUUACACAACUCGAACCAUAACCUCUAAUCACAAGACACCAACUUUAUCAAUUACACCAAACAUUCUUUUUAGUUUAAUUUGCUUCCUUGAUUCAAAACAUUGGACCAAGAAAUUAGUGAAAAUGCAUGCAUAUUAUAUUCCAAGUGGAGAUAUGCUUGUGGAAGACAAGUAACUAGCAUGAAAGAAAUAAUUUAGGUUUGUGUGUUGCACGUAAGGGAAGUUGUUGCAAGAGACAGGCAAAGUUUAGUGAAAAUGCAUGCAUAUUAUAUUCCAAGUGGAGAUAUGCUUGUGGAAGACAAGUAACUAGCAUGAAAGAAAUAAUUUAGGUUUGUGUGUUGCACGUAAGGGAAGUUGUUGCAAGAGACAGGCAAAGUUCAGUUCAUGUCCUAAACUUAUCCCCCUUUUAUCAUAUUCCACUUCUACCAACACCAUAUCUACACAAUCUUUUUUAUUCUCUCAUUAAUUUGAUAACACAUACAAUAAUCACACAGUUCGAUAUGGUAUUAAAACAAAUAAAGAUACUAGAUUCACGUCUCACCAUCAUCAUUGGAAAAAAAAUGUUUUGUCUAAGAAAAAAUUAUUAGACCUGAAUAUAUUAUCAUCUACUAGAUACUAUUCUUCCAUACCCUUAUAAUGUUCUCCAAGUCACUAUUUAUUCUCUUUGAGGAUUCGUUAUAAAGAAGCAAAAUAAGGCAAAAACCAACAUGAAAAUCUGACAAGUUGACUCUUAAAAUUUGAUAGUACAAAAUAAGAACAUAAACAACUAGAGUAACAAAUAUUUGAAUUUAAGACGCUUAUUACAAGAUAAUAAAACAUAAAUAAUCUUUCAGGCAACUUCCCUGUUGAAUAAACAGAGAACUGGGAUUAUUUUAUUUAUUGAUUAUCCAGGGCCAUUUUUCUAAAACU